rnacentral:rRNA from 1 species
UACGAAGGGGGCUAGCGUUGCUCGGAAUCACUGGGCGUAAAGCGCACGUAGGCGGCUUUCUAAGUCAGGGGUGAAAUCCUGGAGCUCAACUCCAGAACUGCCUUUGAUACUGGAGAGCUUGAGUCCGGGAGAGGUGAGUGGAACUCCGAGUGUAGAGGUGAAAUGCGCAGAUAUCAGGAGGAACACCGAUGGCGAAGGCAGCUCGCUGGGACGGUACUGACGCUGAGGCGCGAAAGCGUGGGGAGCAAACAGG